GAUGAACGCUAGCGGCAGGCCUAAUACAUGCAAGUCGAACGGUUGUAGCAAUACAAUAGUGGCGCACGGGUGCGUAACACGUAUGCAACCUACCUUAUAGACGGGGAUAGCCUUUGGAAACGGAGAUUAAUACCCGAUAGUAAUAUUGACUGGCAUCGGUUUAUAUUUAAAGAUUUAUCGCUAUAAGCUGGGCAUGCGUCCAAUUAGUUAGUUGGUUAGGUAAUGGCUGACCAAGACGAUGAUUGGUAGGGGAACUGAGAGGUUAAUCCCCCACACUGGCACUGAGAUACGGGCCAGACUCCUACGGGAGGCAGCAGUAGGGAAUAUUGGGCAAUGGAGGCAACUCUGACCCAACCAUGCCGCGUGCAGGAUGAAGGCGUUAUGCGUUGUAAACUGCUUUUAUAUAGGAAGAAAUAGACCUUGCGAGGUAAGUUGACGGUACUAUAUGAAUAAGCACCGGCUAACUCCGUGCCAGCAGCCGCGGUAAUACGGAGGGUGCAAGCGUUGUCCGGAUUUAUUGGGUUUAAAGGGUGCGUAGGCGGUUUAUUAAGUCAGUGGUGAAAGACGGUCGCUCAACGAUUGCAGUGCCAUUGAUACUGGUAGACUUGAGUGAGAUUGAGGUAGCUGGAAUGGAUAGUGUAGCGGUGAAACGCAUAGAUAUUAUCCAGAACACCAAUUGCGUAGGCAAGUUACUAAGUCUCAACUGACGCUGAGGCACGAAAGUGUGGGUAUCAAACAGGAUUAGAUACCCUGGUAGUCCACACUGUAAACGAUGAUAACUAACUGUUGGCUUUCGGGUCAGUGGUACAGAGAAAUCGUUAAGUUAUCCACCUGGGGAGUACGCCGGCCACGGUG
rnacentral:rRNA from 1 species